GACGAACGCUGGCGGCGUGCUUAACACAUGCAAGUCGAACGGAAAGGCCCUGCUUUUGUGGGGUUCUCGAGUGGCGAACGGGUGAGUAACACGUGAGUAACCUGCCCUUGACUUUGGGAUAACUUCAGGAAACUGGGGCUAAUACCGGAUAGGAGCUCCUGCUGCAUGGUGGGGGUUGGAAAGUUUCGGCGGUUGGGGAUGGACUCGCGGCUUAUCAGCUUGUUGGUGGGGUAGUGGCUUACCAAGGCUUUGACGGGUAGCCUGCCUGAGAGGGUGACCGGCCACAUUGGGACUGAGAUACGGACCAGACUCCUACGGGCGGCAGCAGUGGGGAAUGUUGCACAAUGGGCGGAAGCCUGAUGCAGCAACGCCGCGUGCGGGAUGACGGCCUUCGGGUUGUAAACCGCUGUCGCCUGUGACGAAGCGUGAGUGACGGUAAUGGGUAAAGAAGCAACGGCUAACUACGUG
rnacentral:rRNA from 1 species